GCUUCAGACAGAAGUGCCAAAGAGACCGGGAUCCACACAGAGGCGGGACUUGUAUGGCUUGGAGUUGUACGACACGCCCCUCUAGCGCGUUCAAAUGGUACAGUCUGUCCUCUGAAGUUUUAUGAACUGCGAAAGUUCAAGGUUCCGCUCAAAUUAAGCAAAAUCUUGCAAUUUGACGUUUUGUCAUUCAAAUAUAACGUUGGAAGAUACUUUGUUGUUCUGUUCUGCUACGCUGUUCUGAAUUGUUUAGAUACCGGUGUGUCUGUGUUGAAAGCCGUUUUAUUUUCCAGGUAUCGUGAAUGUCAAUUCAGUGGAGUCAUACAUGGAGUGUCUGAAAGUGGGCUCUGCAAAAUAAAGGGAAGGAUCAACAGAAGUUGAUGUAUGGAAAGCGAAUCAGCUAAUUAGGCAGAUUACUAGAUUCAGUGACAGGUAACUUCCGAGGGAAGUGUCUGAAGAUGCGGUUCUAGGGGUGUCCUAAUGUACUAUUUCGUUUUUAUUGCAGAGCACGUGCGUCUCAUUCAAAUGAAAAGAUAGAAAUCAGUCUGUUAAAAGCUUAUUCGUUUCUUAGCUUAUAGUUCAAUAACCCCACCCCACAAUAAUUUAUUGUUUAGAAAAAACGAAUAUGUUAUGUAAGCAUAAUUUUUAGCGUUUAUAAUGUGUCAUUGGAUUGCAUGGCCAGGUGAUUCCAUUCAAAUGCUUAUAACAUUUAAAUUGGGAACACAAACCAGAGGGACAAUAAUCCACACCCUGGAAUUUGACUCAGUUAUUCAGGAAUCCAAUGUUCUGGUGAGAACUUCCUCUGAAAUGUUACUGCCACCACAAUCCUAAAUCCUUAAUCCAUUCAUUCAUUCAUAGCCUCCAGGAUGUUUUACCUAUAAGGACACACAAAUGUAAAUGAUAAAAUCAUAGCAAAUAUGAGAUGGGUAUACAUAGGCAUGGUAUCAAUUGAAGGAGAAGACUUCUGAGAUUAUGGAGAAACACUCAGAACACCUGAUAGUUCCAGCAUGUACCAGUGCAGCCUGGCCUCAGAGCCAUACGAAACAUACUUUACGUAUUUCCGAGCACCUUCAAGACAUACAAUGCAUUUGGAAAGUAUUCAGAUCCCUUGACUUUUUCAAAAUUGUGUUUCGUUACUG
rnacentral:lncRNA from 13 species